rnacentral:rRNA from 1 species
CCAGCAGCUGCGGUAAUUCCAGCUCCAAUAGCGUAUAUUAAUGUUGUUGCGGUUAAAAAGCUUGUAGUUGAAUCUCUGAUCGGGAUGACCUCCUCACCUUAGGGCGUUGGUAGCUGUUGACCUGAUCAUCCUCCUAGCACACGAUGUCUCUUAACAGGGUCAUUCGUGCUAGGACUAUUACUUUGAGGAAAUUAGAGUGUUCCAAGCAGGCAUUUGCCCUGUAUACAUUAGCAUGGAAUAAUAAUAUAGGACUUCGGUUCUAUUUUGUUGGUUUCUAGAACUGAAGUAAUGAUUAAUAGGGACAGUCGGGGGCAUUCGUACUUAACUGUCAGAGGUGAAAUUCUUGGAUUUGUUAAAGACGAACUACUGCGAAAGCAUUUGCCAAGGAUGUUUUCAUUGAUCAAGAACGAAAGU